rnacentral:rRNA from 1 species
CAAGUUUUUAAGGGCGCACGGUGGAUGCCUUGGCAUCAGGAGCCGAUGAAGGACGCGGUAAUCUGCGAUAAGCCUCGGGGAGCUGAUAAACGAGCUGUGAUCCGAGGGUCUCCGAAUGGGGAAACCCCGCCGCGUGUUAUGCGUGGUGACCCGCACCUGAAUUCAUAGGGUGUGUGGAGGGAACGUGGGGAAGUGAAACAUCUCAGUACCCACAGGAAGAGAAAACAACAGUGAUUCCGUCAGUAGUGGCGAGCGAACGCGGAAGAGGCCAAACCGAUGGUGUGUGAGACCCGGCAGGGGUUGCAUCAUCGGGGUCGUGGGGCGUGUCGUCCCGGGUCUGCCGGCCCGGGCGUGUGAGUGCAGGGCGAUAGUCGAACCGGUGUGAGUGCCGGACCGGAGAGGGUGGGAGUCCCGUAGACGAAAUCGUUGCUGCCGCACGGAGCGCGUACCCAAGUAGCACGGGGCCCGAGAAAUCCCGUGUGAAUCUGCCAGGACCACCUGGUAAGCCUAAAUACUACCUGAUGACCGAUAGCGGACCAGUACCGUGAGGGAAAGGUGAAAA